CACGUAGGAGGCGAGCGUUGUCCGGAAUCAUUGGGCGUAAAGAGCGCGCAGGCGGCUUGGCAAGUCGGGUGUGAAAUCCCGGGGCUCAACCCCGGGACUGCAUUCGAUACUGUCAGGCUAGAGGUAGGUAGGGGAGAUCGGAAUUCCGGGUGUAGUGGUGAAAUGCGUAGAGAUCCGGAGGAACACCCGUGGCGCAGGCGGCCCCCUGGGCCGCGCCUGACGCUGAGACGCGAAAGCGCGGGGAGCGAACGGG
rnacentral:rRNA from 1 species